rnacentral:rRNA from 1 species
CACCCAACAGCUAGCCUCAAACUAAAUCCAACAAAAACAUUAUUUAUAACCCCUCAAACCCUGAAACAUACAAACAAACCAUUUUUCCCCCUAAGUAUGGGCGACAGAAAAGGAAUAUAAGAGCGAUAGAAAAAGUACCGCAAGGGAACGCUGAAAGAGAAAUGAAAAAACCCAGUAAAGUGAAAAAAAGCAGAGAUUUAUACUCGUACCUUUUGCAUCAUGAUUUAGCUAGAAAAAUUCAAGCAAAGAGCACUUUAGUUUGCCUCCCCGAAACUAAGUGAGCUACUCCAAGACAGCCUAAUAAUAGGGCCAACUCGUCUCUGUGGCAAAAGAGUGAGAAGAGCUUAGAGUAGAGGUGACAGACCUACCGAACUUAGUUAUAGCUGGUUGCCUGAGAAAUGAAUAGAAGUUCAGCUUUUUAGUUUUUCCCUUCCAACAUAAAUAUUAAAACCGAUUCAAGAAGAACCAAAAAAGUUAGUUAAAGGAGGUACAGCUCCUUUAAAUAAAGAUACAACUUUCCCAGAUGGGUAAAGAUCAUAAUUAAUAAAGGAUAGGUGUUUUAGUGGGCCUAAAAGCAGCCACCUAAAAGAAAGCGUUAAAGCUCAGACACACAAUAUUCAUCCACUAAUUUUGAUAAUAUAUCUUACCCCACUAAUCUUAUCAAGCCACCCCACGUUCACGUGGGGGUGAUAAUGCUAAUAUGAGUAAUAAGAGAAUAGACUCUCUCCCCGCACACAUGUAACUCGGAACGGACAUACCACCGAAUAUUAUCGGCCCCAAAUAAAGAGGGAACUGAAUAACAAACAAACAACAAGAAAACCAUCCAAAACUAACCGUUAAACCCACACUGGUGUGCCUAAAAGGAAAGACUAAAAGAAAAAGAAGGAACUCGGCAAACACAAGCCUCGCCUGUUUACCAAAAACAUCGCCUCUUGCAAAAACUAAGAAUAAGAGGUCCCGCCUGCCCUGUGACAAAAGUUUAACGGCCGCGGUAUUUUGACCGUGCAAAGGUAGCGCAAUCACUUGUCUUUUAAAUGAAGACCUGUAUGAAUGGCACGACGAGGGCUUAACUGUCUCUUUUUUCCAGUCAAUGAAAUUGAUCUCUCCGUGCAGAAGCGGAGAUAAAAACAUAAGACGAGAAGACCCUAUGGAGCUUUAGACACCAAAGCAGAUCUUGUUAAAUACCCCAAAUAUAGGAAAAAACCAAGAGAGCCCCUGCCCUAAUGUCUUUGGUUGGGGCGACCGCGGGGAAACAAAUAACCCCCACGUGGACCGAGAGCACCCCUCUUACAACAAAGAGACACAACUCUAAUCAACAGAACUUCUGACCUUUAGAUCCGGCAAUGCCGAUCAACGGACCGAGUUACCCUAGGGAUAACAGCGCAAUCCUCUUUUAGAGUCCAUAUCGACAAGAGGGUUUACGACCUCGAUGUUGGAUCAGGACAUCCUAAUGGUGCAGCCGCUAUUAAGGGUUCGUUUGUUCAACGAUUAAAGUCCUACGUGAUCUGAGUUCAGACCGGAGUAAUCCAGGUCAGUUUCUAUCUAUGUAGUGAUCUUUUCCAGUACGAAAGGACCGAAAAGAAGAGGCCAAUACUUCAAGCACGCCUCACCCCUACCUAAUGAAAACAACUAAAUUAGGCAAAAGGGCAUACCCUCUUGCAUAAGAAAAUGGCAU